rnacentral:misc_RNA from 1 species
UUUUAAUUGCUGUCCUCCCACAGGUACGUGCCCUAGUCAUUCUGAAUUCCAUCUAUCUAGGGAAAAGGGUGCUAUUUUCGAUCAUAUUGAAUACCAAUACUUCUGAUAUGUUUUUCCAAAUUUAUUGUCAGCUUCUUAGACUUGCUCAAUAUUUGAAAUGAAAGUGGACUGAAAUUAGACUAGUCCUGUGUAUUUGUUUCGUUUAAUAGUAAACUCAAUUCAACUAAGUUUUUAUCCCAAAAA